GAUGAACGCUGGCGGCGUGCCUAAUACAUGCAAGUCGAGCGAAUGAAUUAAGAGCUUGCUCUUAUGAAGUUAGCGGCGGACGGGUGAGUAACACGUGGGUAACCUGCCCAUAAGACUGGGAUAACUCCGGGAAACCGGGGCUAAUACCGGAUAACAUUUUGAACCGCAUGGUUCGAAAUUGAAAGGCGGCUUCGGCUGUCACUUAUGGAUGGACCCGCGUCGCAUUAGCUAGUUGGUGAGGUAACGGCUCACCAAGGCAACGAUGCGUAGCCGACCUGAGAGGGUGAUCGGCCACACUGGGAGUGAGAAACGGCCCAGACUCCUACGGGAGGCAGCAGUAGGGAAUCUUCCGCAAUGGACGAAAGUCUGACGGGGCAACGCCGCGUGAGUGAUGAAGGCUUUCGGGUCGUAAAACUCUGUUGUUAGGGAAGAACAAGUGCUAGUUGAAUAAGCUGGCACCUUGACGGUACCUAACCAGAAAGCCACGGCUAACUACGUGCCAGCCGCCGCCGUAA
rnacentral:rRNA from 1 species